CGGACGUGGGGAACCUGCCCUAGUACAGGGGGAGUAACAGCUGGAAACGGCUGCUAAUACCGCAUAAGCGCACAGAAUCGCAUGAUUCAGUGUGAAAAGCCCUGGCAGUAUAGGAUGGUCCCGCGUCUGAUUAGCUGGUUGGUGAGGUAACGGCUCACCAAGGCGACGAUCAGUAGCCGGCUUGAGAGAGUGAACGGCCACAUUGGGACUGAGACACGGCCCAA
rnacentral:rRNA from 1 species